rnacentral:rRNA from 1 species
UAGGCGUGCUCUUUAGGCAAAUCCGGAGAGCUUAGCUGAGGUGUGAUAACGAGUCUGCUUGCAGACGAAGUGAGUGAUACCCUGCUUCCAGGAAAAGCCACUAAGCUUCAGCUAUAGAUUGACCGUACCGCAAACCGACACUGGUGCGCGAGAUGAGUAUUCUAAGGCGCUUGAGAGAACUCUGGAGAAGGAACUCGGCAAAUUGACACCGUAACUUCGGAAGAAGGUGUGCCUUUAGUAGGUGAACCAUUUACUUGGGGAGCCCAAUGAGGUCGCAGAGAAUCGGUGGCUGCAACUGUUUAAUAAAAACACAGCACUCUGCAAAGACGAAAGUCGACGUAUAGGGUGUGACGCCUGCCCGGUGCUGGAAGAUUAAUUGAUGGGGUGCAAGCUCUUGAUCGAAGUCCCAGUAAACGGCGGCCGUAACAAUAACGGUCCUAAGGUAGCGAAAUUCCUUGUCGGGUAAGUUCCGACCUGCACGAAUGGCGUAAUGAUGGCCACACUGUCUCCU